GUGCUCGCUUUGGCAGCAUAUACACUAAAUUGAAACGACACAGAUACUAGCAUAGCCCCUGUGCAAGGAUGACACGCAAAUUCAUGAAGCGUUCCAUAUUUUU
ensembl:snRNA Rnu6-45 RNA, U6 small nuclear 45